GUUGGGUAACACUAACUGGAGGACCGAACCGACUAAUGUUGAAAAAUUAGCGGAUGACCUGUGGCUGGGGGUGAAAGGCCAAUCAAACCGGGAGAUAGCUGGUUCUCCCCGAAAGCUAUUUAGGUAGCGCCUCGUGAAUUCAUCUCCGGGGGUAGAGCACUGUUUCGGCUAGGGGGCCAUCCCGGCUUACCAACCCGAUGCAAACUGCGAAUACCGGAGAAUGUUAUCACGGGAGACACACGGCGGGUGCUAACGUCCGUCGUGAAGAGGGAAACAACCCAGACCGCCAGCUAAGGUCCCAAAGUCAUGGUUAAGUGGGAAACGAUGUGGGAAGGCCCAGACAGCCAGGAUGUUGGCUUAGAAGCAGCCAUCAUUUAAAGAAAGCGUAAUAGCUCACUGGUCGAGUCGGCCUGCGCGGAAGAUGUAACGGGGCUAAACCAUGCACCGAAGCUGCGGCAGCGACACUGUGUGUUGU
rnacentral:rRNA from 1 species